CGAUUGUAGUCAUAUGCUUGUCUCAAAGAUUAAGCCAUGCAUGUCUAAGUUCAAACGACAUCUGAACAGUGAAACUGCGAAUGGCUCAUUAUAACAGUUAUAAUUUCUUUGAUUGUUCCUUUACUACUUGGAUAACCGUGGUAAUUCUAGAGCUAAUACAUGCAAAAAGCUCCGACUUCAGGAAGGAGUGUAUUUAUUAGAUAAAAAACCAAUGCAGGAAACUGCUUGACGGGUGAUUCAUAAUAACUGUUCGAAUCGUAUGGCUUUUAUGCUGACGAUGGUUCAUUCAAAUUUCUGCCCUAUCAACUUUCGAUGGUAGGAUAGUGGCCUACCAUGGUGACAACGGGUAACGGGGAAUUAGGGUUUGAUUCCGGAGAGGGAGCCUGAGAAACGGCUCCCGGACCUACGGGACACAGCAGGCGCGCAAAUUACCCAAUCCCAACACGGGGAGGUAGUGACAAGAAAUAACAAUACAGGGCUCUUUUGGGUCUUGUCAUUGGAAUGAGUACAAUUUAAAUACCUUAACGAGGACCAAUUGGAGGGCAAGUCUGGUA
rnacentral:rRNA from 1 species